AGCUUGCAUGUUUUAGCAAUUUUAUUCAGUGAUCAAAGCACAAGGAACCAGGCAUGCUGGGAUUUAUAUGCAGUGUGUUCGUUGCUGGGUUCUCCAAACUAUACCAUAUACACACUCAGCUUUAUCAUGCCUCUAGUAGCUUUGAGCAUGUGUCCUUGCCUUCCCUUGCCUUCCUUUGCCUUCCUUUGCCUUGCCUUGCCUUGCCUUGCCUUGCCCUUCCUUUUUUCCUUUUUCCUUUUUCCCUUUUCCUUUUCCUUUUUCCUCCCCUUCCCUCCUUCUUCUCCCCCUCUUCCCCUUCCCCUGACUUUGCCUUCCCCUCCCUUCCCACUCUGAAGCUGACCAGGCCAGGGAGGUGUCUUUUAUUGGGUAGAACACAUCACCUCUCUGUUGAAGACAUUUAUAAGCAAGGGUAGUUAAAGAGCAAACCUAGAGGACUAGACAGAAAUGCUCUGCUUAACCUCAAUCCUGGGUGCAAGUAUUGUUUUGGAUAGAGGCAGCCCAACUGGGCACCCCUCAUUUGUCCUAGCACAAGAAAAUAGAGCCUGGGCUGGGAAUCCUCCAGCUCCAUCAUGAGUGAAAUUAAGCUAAAUUAGUUCAUGACAAAGCCUUGAGGUAUGGAUAGUCUGUGCUGGGACAGGAGAGGAGGUGUGUCAGGUGCCAUCCAUCCAUAUGUUUUGUGUGUGUUCCUUACAGCUCCUUCAGCUUCAUAAAAUUUGAUGCUCUGGGUGGGUGUUGUGUUGGGAGGAGAGAUUUCUGGCUUAUAUGGCUCUUCAAGUGGAAGAGGAUGACUUCUCAAAUGCUUCAAGACAUGAGGUUUGAUUUUGUGCCUGAGGUAGAAUGGAAAGGGCAGGAGAAUGUGGAUCCUCAGCCUUCCCAAACACUCCAUCCAUUUCUUUCUUUCUUAUGGGAAAGCGUGGAUCAGCUCUGAAUUAGGAGGAUCAAAGGGUGUUGGGGCCAGUUUUAAAAUUAGAGCUGGAAGGAGCUCUUAUCUUCAGCUGGGCUUUAUCAGACGGGUAGGCAGGCCUUAUCCCAUCCCGUAAGCCCCUCUUCUGGAGGCCCUUGAACGCCAGUGACAACAAAACUAUGCCGUGUUGAAAUCGUCGCCUGAGGAAACGUGAAAUAUCACACGAGGAGGGAUGGGUGGAAGACGUGGCAGUGCGUUCACCCCCCAUCCUCAGCUGUGGUCAUAUUUCAACAGCAGAAAACUGCUGCAAGAUUGGAGUGACUUGCUUUGCUGUAGCUGUUUUGGGGAAAACAAAGCAUCUUCCCACUCCAGCUGCCUUGCUGUCUGCAGUGCGUGUAGGGAUUAUCUUGCUGGUUGCCCCCUUCAAAGAGCUCAUUAAUAUCACCAGGGAUAUAUAUAUAUUUUUGCUAUAAUAAUGCUGGUGUUGUUCCAAGCCCUGUUGUAUAUGAUUCUUCAUGUUCUACUCCAGAUCAGGUGCUGGAAGUGUUUGAUGUGGUGCUAGCCACAAACCAAAAUGUUUUCUGCAGAGGGAGGCCUGGAAGGGAUAAAUCCUACCCUGAGAUGAGGGUUUUGCAUGGAAACCUCAGACACAAAUGGCCUGGAAAAAGAAGCAUUUAAGUCUUAUGCUUAGCCCUGAGGCCACAAAUCCUGAAAGCAAGCAACUCUUCCCCCAUACCCAGGAUCACAAUAUGGGUUAGAUUGGAAGGGACCUCUGGGUCCGUCUGGCCCAACCCUGCUAGAAGAGAAGGGACAGCCAGAGUAGGGUGCCCGGCUUCAUGUCCUGGUGGCCUUUGGAGAUCUCCAAGGAGGAGAUUCCAGAAUGUCUCUGGGCAACUGUUCUGUUGCUCAGUACUCCACCCCUCUUUUCCUGGGGUACCUCUAGUUUUGCACCAUGCACCUUUGCAGUAACAGCAAAGGGACAAGAGGGCUGUGACUCCUAUCUCAGGAGCAUGAUGAGGACCACAGCCCUUCCUGCUUAUAGCAAGGCUAUCUUCUGCCCUUUCCUGCUUGAGUCACAGGAGGCUGGUCUUCGGAGAUGGUCCUGAUGUUCUUCCAGGAUUUAUCCUAGCUGAGGUAACACAUAUACCCUCCAGGUAUUCUCUAGCUUGAAGCUGGUUAUUGAAUGUGAAAAUCAACCAGUUGAUGAGCUUGGCUGAGCUCUUGGAGCUUAACUAUCUCUUACAAGCUUUCUCCUCUUUCAGAUAGGUCAGCAGUCCAUCCUCAGACAACUUCUCAGAGCUGGUAGACUUGAUGAUGGGAAGGUUUCCUCCCCUCUCCACUGAAACAUGGGUUAUGAAGCAGUUGUUUGCUUACAGAGCAGCUCUUGGAUUCAGUAACUUGAACUAAAGUGCUUUCUACAGGCUUUUUGCAUUCACACUCCCUCAGCUUCUAUAUUUCUAAUGAGCUCUUGACAUUUUUACUCUUUCCCUCUCUGCUGCUGGGAUGAGUCUGUGAUCCGCAGCCCACACACUCUGCAUCUAAUGGGACCAAUUUCCAGGUGUCCCACAGAUAAAGCAGUGUAAGAGCAGUAGGAUACACAUCCAUAGACCUCCCCCCCCACCCCCCCAGCCCAGAGCCUUCAACACACGUAUCUUGUAAAGCAUGUUGUACAUUUCUAGGGCUUCAUAAACAGCAGCCGUUGGCUGCCAGAGAAGCUGAGCCGAGUGAUCUCUCUCCCCUCCUGCUGCCUUCCCCUUCCAUGUUGUGAUCUGAUUGAUAAACCAGCAAUAUACAAGGAUAAGCAUUUACUCUGCAAUUUCUCUUAAUCACCUUGGGUAAAGGGUGGUGUUGGCUUGGUUCCUUUUUUUUUUUUUUUCCCUGAAGAAGAUGUUAUUCUGUUUACUCUGCUCUACUUCUCCCCCACUGUUUACAGCAUGGCUUUUGCCAAGAAGACUCAGAAAUGCUUCUUCCAGGCUUCAUGAGUAAUUGUCUUAUCAAAACCCCAAGGAGAAGAGGGAGAAAGGAGAGGGAACUAUCCCACUCUGGCUACUGUAAACAGCUCCAUCGGCACCCAUCAUUCAAGGGCCUACAGUGGUCUCAUCCAGCAUUUAAAGACCUAAUGUGGGCUUCUCAAGCACCCACUGCAGUCAGCAGAUUCCUCCAGUAGCUGAAACUUUUAGGAGGAAGUUUUUCACCCAGAGGGUGGUGACGCACUGGAACAGGUUGCCCAAGUAGGUUGUGGAUGCCCCAUCCCUGGAGGCAUUCAAGGCCAGGCUGGAUGUGGCUCUGGGCAGCCUGGUCUGGUGGUUGGCAACCCCACACAUAGCAGGGGGUUGGAACUGGAGGGUCAUUGUAGUCCUUUUCAACCCAGGUCAUUCCAUGAUUCUAUGAUUCUAUGAAAGCAUGGUCUCAGUGUUGCAGAUACACACCUUUGUCAGCAGACAGUAUUCUGGGACAUUCUGCCAACCAUGGGCCAAAUAGCUCCAUCUGUGGUCCUGCCAGAUCUCGAGAGCCUUCCACCUCCACCUCUGGAGGAUAGACAAGGAUGUUCAUGGAUCCAGGAUGAAAGGAGAGGUCAGCCCCUUCACAGAGGCUUUUGGGGUCUUCUAUUGGAAGAAACACCAGCAAAUACCUAGGAAGACAAAAUGCCAGGCUUUUCUAAAUAUAUUCAAAAUGAUGAGACCUAAACUGAGGUUCAGUGGCAGCAGGGAGAGAAGGAUUUUCCUGUGCUCAGAGAUGCAAUGGGAAGAUGCCUUGCUUGAUCCAUCCACAGACUGGGAAGGGUACUCUGCGCCCACCACCUGUUUUAUCUGAAUAUCUCUAUUAGCUCUGAUGCCAGCUGCAAUGUUUAUGUGGCAGGGAUGGAUGCCUGUAGUCUGAAUUACUCCAGCAGUGGGAAGCCACUUGGCACCACGAGCACAUACUUGCAGCAAAAAGGGCAUCACAGAGAGAGGAGCGAGCCCCACACAAUUUGAAUGCCAGUCCCUUGCAGAGGAGAUGACUCUUUGUUUUCCUCCUAGAGUCUGUAUGAAAGAUCCCCUUGAGCACCCAGGAGGAGUCCGGCCCACCCCACUCAAUAGGAGCUGUAAGAUGGGAGGUCUUCGUGGGAGCCUGUUUACAGAGGGGCACAACAUUGGCAUCUCCUUCAAACAGAUUCCACUCACUCCAGCCUCCUUUUUAAUGCCCACUUUGAGCUGUAAAGAAGUUAAAAACCUUUGUCACUCUUUCUGGAAGGGCACACUGAGAGGAGUGGGCUUCCAGCUCCCCUCCAAGAAUGAAGGGACCCACAGACAGUAGGGGUUUGUUUUGUUUCAAGGUUGUGUGCCUGGAUCAAACCCAAGCGAGACAAAGACAAAUAUGCAGAGUGCACCAGGACAGAAAUGAAAGCAGCAGUGGGUCAUGGCUUUCCCCACUCUGGCUGAUGUAAAGCAUCCCUCAGAUUAGUUUGCAAGGAGCACCGCAGUCCAUGAAACAAACUCCAGCCUGCGUAUUUGUUGACACUGGCUGUCUUAAGCUAUCUCAUUCACACAUUGCCAGCUAGUUUGGACAAAUGACUACAUGAAUUUUCAAAAGAACAAAAUAUCUGCAGUCCUUGAGCUUUCUAACCAGAGUUUUUAAAAUCACAAGAGUGACAGUGAGGGUUAGGUCCACUUGUGCACGUCUCUUGAGAAGGAGAGGAGAGGGACAGGGUGUCAGGGGUAACAGGGUGAACAAGGAAGGGAAGUAGGUUGUUGUCCAGCACCUGAAAUAGGCCGUUCUUUUUGCUUUGCUUUCAAUAUCCUAUUAACUUUUCAGCUGGGAGGGGUGUGAGAAAGGCACUGCACAAGGCAGGAAUCCUUCUAAUAUCACCAAGUCUUGCUCCCUUUCACUCUCUGCUGGAAGAAAUCGCCUCAAUGUGAUGCAGGUGAAACCUGGACUUAGAACCUGAUGAUGAUUUUGUGGUGUCCUAUACAAGUCCUGAAGAAUCAGAUUUCAUAUGUAGAAAUCUGCAUGGGCUGUAAAUGGAAAUUUGCUGAAAAAGUUAGCCAGAAGGGGAAGGCUACCUGCAAAGCUGAUAAAUAUACCACCUGAAAGGGUGUAAAUUGUCCCUCCAAGGCAUAACUCUGUAGAAAGCUCGUAACACUUUUAAAUGCAUGUACCAGUUGUCUUUUCCUAAAUGUAUACUGUUUAAUCAUAGAAUCACAGAACACCUUGGGUUGGAAGCUCAUCCAGUUUCAACCUCUGCCAUGGACAGGGUCACCUCCCAUAGAUCAGGUGGCCAAACCUCCAUCUAGGCUGGACUUGGGCACUACCAGGGAUGGAGCACCCACAGCUUCUCUGGGCAACCUGUGCCUUGGCUUCACCACCCUCAUAGUGAAGAAUUCCUUCCUAAUAUCUAAUUAAAUCUACCUUUUUUUUUUUUUUCAGUUUAAGGUCAUUACCUCUUGUCCCGUGACUACACUCCCUGAUAAAGAGUCCUUCAGCUUCCUCAGCCUUUUUUGAGCAGUAUAGAACAUGGGCAACCAGAGGCUGUCUCAUAUUCGGGACCACCAGCUGGCUUGGUUUGCAAGUGGAGACACCAGGAAUGGGUUGUAGUGGGAUGCUCUCGGCGUUGAUCCAGGGAGGACUUUCUGGUCCGAUGAGCCUGGACAUUGAAGUCCUCUGACAGAGAGCCAGAGAUACUUCAGGAGAAGAGAGGGCUUAUCUGGAGAAGAGGAGGCUCAGGGGAGACCUUAUCACUCUCUACACUACAGCUACCUGAAAGAAGGUUGUGGUGAGGUGCUCUGUCAGCAGAGCCUUCCUGCCUGUCCUCCAAUGAGUUUGGAGAGAGAGAAGUAUUUACACACUUCUGGAGAAGAAAACUGGAGAGAGAAGUCCGAUGGGGAUAGUGAGGUGGAGACAGACCGAAGAAGUUUUGAGCACAGUCAGGUUUGGCUUUAGAAGGCAAAAGACCCCAGUUCAACAUUCUCCAUUCUGCAUCCAAAGAGGAAAGGAAAACCAUCUUCAUGUGCAGGAGAACAUGAACGCCACAUCACUGGAUUGGAAUAAAUACCAACAUAAACUCUGUGGUGAUCUCAAACCUCACAUGGUCCCUUUUCUCUCUUAUUCCACCAACUCACCAUAAAUGCUGUGUUUUAUUAAGGUCGUAGCUUCACCUGGGGAGGAAGUAUCUAGGGUUUGAAACCCACUAAGAGAUGUAGAGGAUCAGUGUUGGUGAGUUUAUCCCUGUCUGCAGAGAGGAUGAAAUGUCUAAACUGAGACAGGUAAGAACUGGAAUCUGAUGGAAGACAGGGAAGAGAGGAGAACAAGAAAACUGGAAAAAGGAGAGAACUUCUAACCUACAAUCACACUGUCCGUGCUGGUUGAAAUCCAGGUAUAAACACACCCGUUUCCUUAUGUUUUACUUUUCAGAACAUGUCUUGAAGACAGAAACAGGGGUUAGAAGAGCAGAUUUUACUCCUGUGAUUAAGAUGUGCACCAUUUGACUUUGGGUUGUAAAGAAAAAGAAGAAAAAAUAAAACAAGGGAAAAAAAAAAGAGUAAUGCUUUACUAAUUAAGGCACAAUUGAAAGUGAUUGGUGUGCACUGGCAAGCUGCUCCUCUCAGAAAGAGCUGGACUGACAUCUCUACAAUCACUCAGUGAGUAAGCACUGCGAAAACACUGUUUGGCCUGGAAGGAGCUAAUAAGUGCAUAGAUAAAAUCUUAUUUUGAAAGCAACAACAAAGGGCAUGUGAUUUAUAUCUUAGUUGGUGACUUCAUAUGUUUUGCAGAGUUUCUCCAAAAUAUAUCGGAAUUCAUAAUUCAUUUUUAUAACGCAUUACAUUAAAAUAAUAAAUGUCA